rnacentral:rRNA from 1 species
GGAUAACCUACCCUUAGGACCGGGAUAACCCUGGGAAACUGGGGCUAAUACUGGAUAGAUGAUUUUUCCUGCAAUGGUAUUUUGUCUAAAUGUUUUUUCGCCUAAGGAUGGGUCUGCGGCCGAUUAGGUAGUUGGUUAGGUAAUGGCUUACCAAGCCGUUUAUCGGUACGGGUUGUGAGAGCAAGAGCCCGGAGAUGGAACCUGAGACAAGGUUCCAGGCCCUACGGGGCGCAGCAGGCGCGAAACCUCCGCAAUGUGAGAAAUCGCGACGGGGGGAUCCCAAGUGCCAUUCUUAACGGGAUGGCUUUUCUUGAGUGUAAAAAGCUCUUGGAAUAAGAGCUGGGCAAGACCGGUGCCAGCCGCCGCGGUAACACCGGCAGCUCCAGUGGUAGCCAUUUUUAUUGGGCCUAAAGCGUUCGUAGCCGGUUUAAUAAGUCUCUGGUGAAAUCCCACAGCUUAACUGUGGGAAUUGCUGGAGAUACUAUUAGACUUGAGGUCGGGAGAGGUUAGAGGUACUCUCAGGGUAGGGGUGAAAUCCUGUAAUCCUGGGAGGACCACCUGUGGCGAAGGCGUCUAACUGGAACGAACCUGACGGUGAGGGACGAAAGCUAGGGGCGCGAACCGGAUUAGAUACCCGGGUAGUCCUAGCCGUAAACGAUGCGGACUUGGUGUUAGGAUGGCUUUGAGCCGCCCUAGUGCCGAAGGGAAGCUGUUAAGUCCGCCGCCUGGGAAGUACGGUCGCAAGACUGAAACU